AUGUGGAUGGAGGGGAACCAAACGCACGUCUGUCUCGUUACAACGUGUUGGUCUUUGGUGAGUUUGCCCUCGGAGGAUUGCUUCCCGCUUGGCCUGCUCUGCUCUGUAUUGUCAGCGUGUGCGUGUGCGCAUGCGCGCGCAUGCCCGCAGUGGAGAGGGGCUGGUCCCCGGAGGAUGUGUUUCCCCGUCUCCCAGGGCCGCUGACUUCUCCUGGCCUCAGCCAAUGGGAAGCGUUAUUGAAGAAGCGGAGAGAAGAGGGCAGGGAGAAGCCAGAGUAUUUCUCCCCAUCUCUGUCGGCCUCGGGCAGCUUCUCUGGAAACAGCCGCCUCGCCUGCCAGGCUCCAGCUCCCCCAGACGGGCCCUUCGUCAUCUCAGCUUCCACCUGGUGGCCCCAUCCCUGGGCCCCGAAACCACCACCUUGUGUCCCUCCAGCCUACGGGUGGGGGCUUCCUGCCGUUCCCAGGUUCCAGGGCGCACGCGUCACCACCCUGUUGGGUCUCAGCAGCUCCACCCCUGUGUAAACCACUUCCCUCUGGGUCACAGAGUGGCCUUGGCUGAUGUUGGAGUUCGAGGCUGUGUUUAUGUUGAACAGAAGAGCACCAAGGCCCAGCUGGGAGUGCCAAGCCAGCUCUCACCUGCCAGGAGCUGCUUUUCCUUGGUGUUAAUAAGACACAGAGUAGAAGCGUGAGUCCAGGCAGAGGGGCAGUGGUCCACGUGAGAGGUGAAGGUGUCUUGCACUAGGUGAGCGUGGAGCUGAGGGGAAAUAACUGGAUUCAGGAUACAUGUGAGGCCACGGCCCGCGCUCAAACCACAUGGAGCUUUCCAGCUCCUGGGAAGGAUGCCGACCACUUGCUCCUCCAGGCCCUUCCUGGAUGGCUCUUUCUCGCCCCUCUUCUCCGGCUCCACCGCCACCCAAGCCCUGUUCCCUGAUGCAGUCCUAUUUAUCUCACUCAAAUGCUACACUCACCAGGAAGUCUUCCCCAAACCUCCCACCCCGAAUCUGGGGUAGCAGUCCCUCCUUUGUGCUUCCGUAAGACCUCGUUGCAUUAUGAUUGUUUAC
rnacentral:lncRNA from 1 species